rnacentral:rRNA from 1 species
AUUGAACGCUGGCGGCAGGCCUAACACAUGCAAGUCGAACGAGUGGCGGACGGGUGAGUAAUGUCUGGAAAACUGCCUGAUAGAGGGGGAAAACUACUGGAAACGGUAGCUAAUACCGCAUAACCUCAGAUAUGCCCAGAUGGUUUUAGCUUGUUGGUGGGGUAACGGAGCACCAAGGCGACGCUCCCUAGCUGGUCUGCGAGGAUGACCAGCCACACUGGAACUGAGACACGGGCCAGACUCCUACGGGAGGCAGCAGUGGGGAAUAUUGCACAAUGGGCGCAAGCCUGAUGCAGCCAUGCCGCGUGUAUGAAGAAGGCCUUCGGGUUGUAAAGUACUUUCAGCGGGGAGGCGUUACCCACAGAAGAAGCACCGGCUAACUCCGUGCCAGCAGCCGCGGUAAUAC